rnacentral:rRNA from 1 species
GGACACGUGGUAUCCUGUCUGAAUAUGGGGGGACCAUCCUCCAAGGCUAAAUACUCCUGACUGACCGAUAGUGAACCAGUACCGUGAGGGAAAGGCGAAAAGAACCCCGGCGAGGGGAGUGAAAAAGAACCUGAAACCGUGUACGUACAAGCAGUGGGAGCACAGGUUUACCUGUGUGACUGCGUACCUUUUGUAUAAUGGGUCAGCGACUUAUAUUCUGUAGCAAGGUUAACCGAAUAGGGGAGCCGGAGGGAAACCGAGUCUUAAUUGGGCGUUAAGUUGCAGGGUAUAGACCCGAAACCCGGUGAUCUAGCCAUGGGCAGGUUGAAGGUUGGGUAACACUAACUGGAGGACCGAACCGACUAAUGUUGAAAAAUUAGCGGAUGACCUGUGGCUGGGGGUGAAAGGCCAAUCAAACCGGGAGAUAGCUGGUUCUCCCCGAAAGCUAUUUAGGUAGCGCCUCGUGAAUUCAUCUCCGGGGGUAGAGCACUGUUUCGGCUAGGGGGCCAUCCCGGCUUACCAACCCGAUGCAAAC